rnacentral:ncRNA from 2 species
CAUUGUUCUCAGGGCGGGGUGCAAUUCCCCACCGGCGGUAAAGGCAGCGAUGCCAAGCCCGCGAGCGCCUUCGGCCCCCAGGGUCCGAAGGGUCAGCAGAUCCGGUGCAAUUCCGGGGCCGACGGUAUAGUCCGGAUGAAAGAGAACGGGA